rnacentral:lncRNA from 1 species
AAGCUGCAGCGCUGUACACGCGCAUGCAUGGGAGCACGUGACCCGGCUCCAGUGCAGCGGCGGUGGCGCGCGUGCGCGUCCCCGUUGCUUUCGCGCGUUGGCGGCGGCGGUGGUGGCGGCGCGGGCACAGUCCUACAGGAAGGUAUGAAGGAGAGUGUUGCUGCAGAUACUAAGAAUUUCUUGGAAGAGAAGAAACCAAACACAAAAACCACUGCUGUUUGAUACGUGAUCUUGGUUCAUAAAUUUCUGACAACUUAUAUCAAAAUUGCUAUGGAGGAUUUCAACUGACAACUGCUUUUUAUGAACCACUACUUAAAGGUAGGUUUUAUUCACCACUUUCAUUCUCUGGAAGUCUCCAUCUAGAACACAAUACUCAUGACCAUUUGCUGCUUCACUUUCUUCGAUUUGACUAUGCUGCAUUUUAAGCAGGUUUGCACAUUUGAGUGCUGAUGUUCAUUAUCAGUGAAUUUUACUUCUUCAUGUAGUUCUUGUGCUUUGACAAACGUUUUAUGGUUGUGGCGCAUAUGGCUGGUGCUGCAUGCCCUCGAGGAGCCCUUUGCUGGUGCUGUUCUAGACCCAUGAUGUUAUGCAAACCCCAUUACGCACUGUUGUUCAGAUUGCAGCUUCUCCCUCUCCACCCCCCCGCUCAUUUUUCCAUGACCUUCCCUUUGUCUGCUGCCUGUCACUAGGCAGGAUUCAGGCAGCUCCAUGCUGAUUGGCUUCUCUUUCUGAGCAGCUCAUGGGCUGCUUACCUGAGCACAUGAUCAUAGGCUGAUACAUACCAGCUAAUACAAUCCUUUCUUGCUUUAGAACUGUGGUCUCUUUACAGAGUAAGAAUAAUAAAAAAAUACAGAAAUAGAGGAGAAGAUGUAGC